UACGUAGGGGGCAAGCGUUGUCCGGAAUCAUUGGGCGUAAAGCGCGUGUAGGCGGCUCGGCAAGUCUGCUGUGAAAGUCCAGGGCUCAACCCUGGGAUGCCGGUGGAUACUGUCGAGCUCGAGUCCGGAAGAGGCGAGUGGAAUUCCUGGUGUAGCGGUGAAAUGCGCAGAUAUCAGGAGGAACACCAAUGGCGAAGGCAGCUCGCUGGGACGUGACUGACGCUGAGACGCGAAAGCGUGGGGAGCGAACAGG
rnacentral:rRNA from 1 species